AAAUCAAAAACUCCCCUGGAAGGUUGUAAACCCUGUUGAAGAGUGAGACUAGAAGUAGAACAAGGAUCUGAAGAGCACCAAUAUUUAAGGGACAAGUGGAAUAGGAGCCCAGAAGUCAGAGAAGGUGUAGUUAAUUAGAAUAUUUGAGGAGCGGAAGCAAAUGUAAUGUCAGAGAAACCAGUUCCUUAUUAAUCAGAGCUUUUGUGGCGUGUCAUUUCUUUGAGACACCUUAAUGACACUGGGAACAGUAGAAGGUGGAAAGAGAUCAGAGUGUGGGAAAGAUGUGCCUGAGAUGAAAUUAUCUGAAUUCUGAAUGUGGGGGAGAAGAUGAGGAGAGGGUUGAGGGGGAGGAGAGAUGACUAAGCUCCUCACAGUGUUUCAUUAACUGUCUUUUACCUAAAGGAGGAAUCUUCUUAAUGAAGAUUGGUUGAUGCAUCAUUACUGGUCAUCAAGUAAGUUCUUAUAAAUGCAAGUUUGAUUGUUUUGAAGGGAAGGAUAUAGGAAGGCUGGAUAAUCAGCUACAUUUAGAUAUGGAACGCUACAGGAUGUCUGCAUUUAUUGUUGUAAAUUCGUCUGGUGAAAAACGUUAUCACUUCACGCCCCCACUUCCAAAGAAACAAACACCCAACUCACUUCUGCCUUUUCCUUGGAUUCUACACUUUCUCUCAGGAUAUCUUUCUGAUUGAGUCUUGCCUCAUUUAUGUGAAUG
rnacentral:lncRNA from 1 species